UGAAAAUUAAACAUAAGAAGGGUGAGUAUUUAAAUACUCAGUAAGAGACCCUCUACUGGUCCCGUCAGGGGAAAAUAAAUUAUUAACGAUCUAUUGGGACACCCUGUACAGUCACAGUCUUGUGAUCCCGUAGGAUACACAUCUCAGUCUAACGCCCCGAGGGACGUACAUAUCAGUCUAGUGUUCUGCAGAAACACAUAUCAGUCUAAUGCUCCCGAAGGUGCAAAAUAAAUUGGUGAUCCCGUGGGACACCUACAAGGUACACAUCCCAAUAAAUCUAACAAUUUUCCCCUCAUUCCAUUCAAUCCAUCCUUCAGUUGCUUCAAAACAUAAAAUUGUUUCUCUCAACGUCCUAACAGUCAACUUACUUUACUUUAGUCAUCUGUCCGUCAAUAAUAUACUAAUACGCCAGUCAAUCAACUAUACAGUCAAUACACCCCUCAGUUCACCAGCACACAAUCAUACUUUAGCGUAAUCGUACACCCAAUCUAAACGAGAAUCACAAGUUCAUAUCUACAUCUCAUACCAACACAAUCUACAAUCUUCGUCAUGUCCACAUACACACACUUAUAUAUAUCUUCCAUGACAUUCACGAUAUACAUUCGACGUUAUGUCUACUUCAAUUCACAUGCAUUCAUAUAUAUUUUCAGUCAAACCACAGUAUACAUUCAACACACAUACAGUUCACAAUCACAAUUGAGCCCAGUAGAAAAUCCCUUACCUCAAAGUUAGGGAAGCUCCUUAAUCAACUAACGUCCUCGAAACAAUCCUAAGCAUAACAACACAAAAUUCAAUUACUUUCACGAUACAUAUUCCACUUAUUUUCCUCAACGUAAGUUUCAACUCACCAAUAUAAUGGCGAACUGAACCUUCAACAAUUCACAAUCUGGUUGUGAAUGUAAGGGAGCCUAACGUUUCUCCCAACACCUCAACGCACGACUCGAACUCGCAGCAAAAUCCUAAGUGUGGGUCGGUUAGCGGUCGGCCAAAGGGAACGUGGCGGCUGGGCUUCACGGAUGGAGACCGUCGCGAACAGACCGCGAAUCUGAACAGUUACAGCAAAUCUGAACGGUUACAGCAACUAGUCGGCCGACGUCGAUAGCAGAUGGAGCGGCGGUUGUGAGCGGGGAGCGUGGUCGACGAAGACAGAAUCGGCGAUGGAGACGGCAGAUCGGCGCGCGGGACGACUGCUGCAAGGUUGCUUCGCGAACCGGAGAUGGCGGCCGACGGUUGCAGACGGAGAGGCUGCAGCGGCGGCUGGGUAUGGUAGAAAAGAAAGAGAAACGGAAGAAGAGAAGUUUGGGGUGGCCAGCCGUAGAAAACGAAAAGAAAAGAGGAAGAAAAAGAAGAAAGAAAAGAGAAAGGAAAAGAGAAGGAAGAAAAGAGAUGGUUGUGGUCGUAGGUUGAACAGGAAGAGAAAGAAAGAAGAUGAAUAGGAAAAGAGAAAAAUAAAAUAAAAUAUUAUAAGUAUAUUUUUUUCUUUCUUUUUCCUUUCUUUUAUUAUUAUUCUUUUUUCUUAAAAAAGAAUUAUUAAUAAUAAUAAUAUAAUUAUAAUAUAUUAUUAUUACUUUUCUGUUUCCUUUACUUUUCCUCUUCCCAAAACAAACAUUCUCUCUCUUCAUUAAAUACUAUCAAUUCCAACUUUUUAUCCCUUCUUUAAAAUAACAAAAUUUUAGAUUAUUCAAACUAAUUAUAUUAUUUCCAAUAAUAUAAUUUUCUCAUCCUUCCAUAACAUCAAACACAUAUAUCUAUACUCAAAAUCCUAAAAUAAAUUACCAAGAUCAUUCUCUUUUAUUCAUCCAUAACAAUAUAAAAAAAAUCAAUUUUCAUAAUUAAUUAGAUAUUCUUCCAUAAAUAUUCAAUUAAUUAUAAUCUUCACAAAACAAACAAAUCUCUUAAUUUAUCUAAAAUAACACAAAUAAUUCCAACUUAAAUUCAAUUCCAUUAAGACAAAUAACACAAAUAAUCCUAAAAUAAAUUACCAAGAUCAUUCUCUUUUAUUCAUCCAUAACAAUAUAAAAAAAAUCAAUUUUCAUAAUUAAUUAGAUAUUCUUCCAUAAAUAUUCAAUUAAUUAUAAUCUUCACAAAACAAACAAAUCUCUUAAUUUAUCUAAAAUAACACAAAUAAUUCCAACUUAAAUUCAAUUCCAUUAAGAUAAAUUAAAUUUAAAAUUACCUUAAAUUUUGGGAUGUUACAAUCUUCCCUCCUUUUAGAAACUUUCGUCCUCGAAAGUACUAAUCCUCAACAACUCUAUAAUAUCCCUGGGUAAUGAGCUCUCAUAUCAUCUUCUCGUUCUCAUGUCGCUUCUUUAACUCGAUGAUUCUGCCACAAUACUUUUACUAAUGAAAUUCCUCUAUUACGAAGCAUCAUCACUUCUCUAACCAGAAUCUCAACUGGUUGCACCACAUAGCUCAAAUUCUCGUCAAUCUCUAGUGGUUCAUAGUCCACUACAUGAGAUGGAUCUGCCACAUACUUUCUCAACAUCGAAACAUGGAAAACAUUAUGAAUUGCAGAGAGAAAUGGAGAGAGAAAUGGUGGUAAUGCUAAACGAUAUGCCACAACACCAAUUCUCUUUAAAAUCUCAAACGGUCCAACAAAACGAGGACUUAACUUCCCUUUCUUCUCAAAAUGCAUAACAUCCUUCAUAGUUGCUACCUGCAAGAACACCUUAUCUCCCACAUCAAACUCAAGGUUCUUUCACCUCAGAUAUGCAUAACUUUUUUUUUUCUACUUUGCGUUGUUUGCAUACGUACUCUAAUAUUCUGAAUAAACUCAUUAGUAGACUAAACCAACUCAUAACCCAUCAAUCUCUGUUCACCAACCUCAUUCCAACAAACAGAAGUUCUACAACAUUUACCAUACAAAGCUUCAAACGGUGUCAUGCCAAUGGUAACCUGAAAACUGUUAUUAUAAGCAAACUCCAUCAAAUGUAAGUGAGAGUCCCAACUACCUAGAAACUCUAGAACACAAGCUCGUAGCAUAUCCUCUAAAACUUGGUUCAAACGUUCAGUUUGGCCAUCAGUCUGUGGGUGAAAGGUUGUACUAGAAAUCUAACCUCGUUCCCAUGGCAGUCUAAAGUCCCUUCCAAAACUUGGAAGUAAAAAGUGCAUCUCUGUUAGAGACAAUCAAUACGGGCACUCCAUGUAGUCUCACAAUCUCAAUCAAAUAUAAUUAUGCUCAUUUACUAGUAGUAUAAGUGGAAUUUUUUUUUUUGAAAUGAAAUCUGUCGAUUUCAUAAGCCUAUCGACAAUAACCCAAAUCACUGUGUAACCCUUCAGGGUUUUAGGCAAUUAUAUAAUAAAAUCCAUAGAUACAUUCUCCCACUUCCACUCUAAUAUACUCAAAGGUUGCAACAAACCUGUUGGUUUCUAUCUUGGUGCUUUAACCUGCUAGCACACCAAGCACUUACUAACAAGAUCUUCCAUUUCUCUCUUCAUAUUACGCUAGUAACAAACUCUUUUCAGAUCCGGAUACAUUUUUGUGCUACUUGGAUGCAUGAGAAAUGGGGAACUAUGAGUCUCAACCAAUAACCUUGUCUUAAUUGCAUUUUCUGUUGGCUCACAUAAUUCUCUCUCAAACAUAAGUUCAUCAUCAAAGGAUAUGGAAAACUCCUUAACUUGCCCUACUUCUACUAGGCAAUGCUUCUCAAUCAAACAAGGAUCAAUGAAUUGAACCACAAGAAUUCUUUGUCUCAAGAUCGGAUGUACUGACAACUGAGCUAACUGUGAGGUGACUUCCCCCACUAAAACUACAAUCUCAGCUCUCUCGUGGUUUUUGUCUAAUGAAACCUGUCUGGUAAUAAGUGCUGUCAAAAUGUGAUACUUUUCUACGAAGAGCACCAACUUCCACAUUCGCCUUACCUAGAUGGUACAAAAUCUCACAAUCAUAGUCAUUUACUAACUGAAACCAUCUUUGCUAUCUCAUACUCAACUUCUUUUGAGUGAAAAAGUAUUUUAUACUCUUUUGGUUAGAAAAUAUCUAUAUCUUUUCAUCAUACAUAUAGUGCCUUCAAAUCAUUAAUGUAAAAACCACAACUGUCAAUUCCAUAUCAUAAGUUGGACAAUUUUCCUCAUGACUCUUCAACUGACGAGGAGUACAAGCAACUACUUUAACUUGUUGAAUCAUAAUACCUUUUAAACUUUCCUAAAAGCAUCACUAUAAAUUACGAAACUUUUUGAACCAUCAUGUACGGUAAGCACGGGAGUUGUACAAGCUUCUGCUUAAGAUCCUGAACACUAUCCUCGUAGGCUUUGUCCCAAACAAACAGAGUCCCUUUUCUUAGUUAACUGAGUCAAAGGAGUAGCUAUACGAGAAAAUUCUUAUACAAACCGUUAGUAAUAACCUGCUGAACCCAAAAAUACUACGAACCUCACUGACUAUGAAAGGUUGAGGCCAACUGGUAACGACUUCAAUCUUUUAUGAGAUCCACAUAAAUGUCAUCUCUAGAUACCACAUGGCUUGGAAAGAUACUUGGCCUCAUCCAAAACUCACAUUUUGAAAACUUUGCAUACAAUUUGUUGACUCGAAGAGCCUCUAAAACCAUGUUAAAUGCUCCUCAUGCGCUGUCUCUAUUUUGGAAUAAAUUAAGAUAUCGUCAAUAGAUACAAUCACGAAAGUGUCUAAGAGAUCGUUAAACACUUUGUUCAUCAAGUCGUAAACAUUGUUUGAGCAUUUGCCAACUCAAAAGACAUCAUAAUGAACUCAUGAUGUCCAUAUCACGAACGAAAAUCUGCCAUAGGAAUGUCACUGUUCUCUAAUCCUCAACAAGUCAUAACCUGAAUGUAAUUCAAUCUUAAAGAACACGGACUUAUUGCAGUUGAUCAAACAAAUCCUCAUUCAUUGGUAAAAGAUAUUUAUUUUUAACCGACACCUUAUUCAACUUUCUACAAUCAAAACAUAAGUGCAUCGACCCAUCUUUCUUCUUAAUAAACAAAAAUUGGUGCACCCCAAGAUAACAUACUUCGUCGAAUGUAGUCCUUGUCAAACAUUUCUUUCAAUUGCACCUUCAAAUCUUUCAACUCUGUUGGGGCCAUUUUGUAUGAAGCUUUAGACAUAGGAACGAGUCUAACUCUUUCUCAAUAGCAAGACCAAUUUCUGUUUAGCGCGGUAAUCUUAGAAACUCUUCUAGAAAAAUAUCAUAAUACUUUUUCACCACUGAUUCAAAUAACAAAGAAACAUCGACUUCUCUGGUGUCUACCACACUAGUCAAAUACAACAGGUACCCUGGUCAAGCAACUUACUAACCUUCAUAGCUGGGAUAACUUUUAGCGAAAUGAUAGUUCCAACCUCUUUGUACUUGAAACUAGCCUCUGGAGAAGGAUUAGAAACUACAUUUUCGCUGAACAUUUUAUGUUUACAUGGUUAAACUACAUUCCAAUUUUCAAACUCUAAACUAGUAACUUUUCAUUCACGAGAAACUCAAAAUUGUUUCUUAAAGUCACAUCAAGACAACCAUGCUUCAUCUUCCUUGUUUCUUUUCCAAUACCUCCAUUCUAAAACCAUUUAAUGUCUUUCGUAUAAACUUGACCCUGUAUUUAGUCCUCGUUAAAACCACCUACAUAACUUAUUUUUCUUAGAUUUCCAAUCACAAAACAGACAAUUUUGCUAACAACGUCUUACUUUUCUACUACUCGACCACUCCUUUGAACACCUCUACAUGACAACAUUUUUCCUAAAUUUCACCAUUAAAUCUUUCACCAUUAAAUCAUAACAUUCAUGUAAUUCUAGUUUAACUUACGCAAGGUCAUAUACAUAAACCAUACAUAUAAGCAUAAAGCAUACCUGACGAGAGACGAAGGGUCGCGUUAGCCAUAGGGACACAAAAACAUAGACUUACAUCGUAAGUCAGUCUACAGAACCUAAAACCUGGCUCUGAUACCAACGGUAACGACCCAACUUUUCUAAGUAAGUCGAGGUCGUUAAUUUUUAACAAAUAAAAGACUUUGAUUAAUAUAAAACAAAACGUAAGCAAUUUAAAAAAAACAUCUUCAAGUCAGGCCUAAUUUUUAAACAUUCAAUAAAACAUAAAAUAAUACUAUUUACAACAAACGUUUGUAAACUAAAUUUCAAUUCAUCUUAAACCUCACAAGAACCCAUAAGCGGAAGCAAAAACACGUUUCCUAUGGCAUCACACUUCCUUCCUGCCCCUCGCCGGUUUCUUACUACCUUUGCCUGAAAAUUAAACAUAAGAAGGGUGAGUAUUUAAAUACUCAGUAAGAGACCCUCUACUGGUCCCGUCAGGGGAAAAUAAAUUAUUAACGAUCUAUUGGGACACCCUGUACAGUCACAGUCUUGUGAUCCCGUAGGAUACACAUCUCAGUCUAACGCCCCGAGGGACGUACAUAUCAGUCUAGUGUUCUGCAGAAACACAUAUCAGUCUAAUGCUCCCGAAGGUGCAAAAUAAAUUGGUGAUCCCGUGGGACACCUACAAGGUACACAUCCCAAUAAAUCUAACAAUUUUCCCCUCAUUCCAUUCAAUCCAUCCUUCAGUUGCUUCAAAACAUAAAAUUGUUUCUCUCAACGUCCUAACAGUCAACUUACUUUACUUUAGUCAUCUGUCCGUCAAUAAUAUACUAAUACGCCAGUCAAUCAACUAUACAGUCAAUACACCCCUCAGUUCACCAGCACACAAUCAUACUUUAGCGUAAUCGUACACCCAAUCUAAACGAGAAUCACAAGUUCAUAUCUACAUCUCAUACCAACACAAUCUACAAUCUUCGUCAUGUUCACAAACACACACUUAUAUAUAUCUUCCAUGACAUUCACGAUAUACAUUCGACGUUAUGUCUACUUCAAUUCACAUGCAUUCAUAUAUAUUUUCAGUCAAACCACAGUAUACAUUCAACACACAUACAGUUCAC
rnacentral:lncRNA from 1 species